ensembl:lncRNA
AGGGUGCAGGUUGAGGUGCUGUUUGUGUGUGGGGUGACCUCCCCGCUCGGUGGGUCGAGGUAGCUCCCUGGGCUUCCAAAGACGAGACGUUGGUGAUGUUCUGCUGCUGCCGGGCGGGCCAGCCUGUAACUCAGGCGUUGGCGGGAGCCUCGUGCUCCGCGGGGCUUCUUGAAGAGGGUGAGGUGUGGGGGUACCGUCCUGUAGGCAGGGCUGUGUGUGCCCCCCGUGUGUGCUUGGUGAGCUGCGUUCUGAGAGACCCCCUGUACUCAGGUGGGAAUGUGGCCCCGGCCUUUCAGAGGCGCGGGGCCGUGAGAUGCGGGGUGGGGCUUGCGCCCUCCCUGGAAUCGGGGCUGGGAUCCCGACUGCGGCCUUUGGCCGUGCCGCCCCGCUGCCUGGCUGCUGAGAGUUGCUCCUGCCGCUGGGGGGGAAACCGAGCUCUGUGGCUCCAGGGGUGUUGUCCACCCGCCUGUAAUCAGGGUCUGGGUGCGCGAGCGUUUGUGCUCUGCUGGCAGCCUGUGUGGGGUGACCGCCCCGCUAGCGGGGUGUGGGUCGAGGUGCCCCGGACUGGGAGAGAAGGAGCCUCCCUCGGCCGUAGGGAUGGGGGCUGCCCUGUAAGUCAGGGAGCAUCUGUGUCCCGGAGUCCCAGGCCCUUUUCAAUGGCGGCAGUGGCCGGGGGUCCCCUGUAAGCAGGGAAGCUGACUCUUUGGCUGCUGCUUUUUGUGUGCCCAGCCCCAUUUGCCCAGUCUGCCCGCCUCUGUGAUCCCCCGCAGCACUGGCUGGAAGUCCGCCGCGUGUCAGUGAGGAGCUGCUGCAGAAGGAAGAAGAAGCAGCGGCGUGGGGACCUGGGAGGCAGGAGCAAGCAAGAAGAGGAAGCGGAAGCGUGCAGAUGCGGGGGGGAAGGAGAGAGGCUCCCUGGGCAAAGCACCUGUCCCGUUAGCAGGGGCACAGUCACGUUUGAGUUGAGAGCUGCCGGCGCCUUUGGUGACCAGGCUGGCGUUGUGCUGGGCGACCUCCCCGUAAGCGGGGCUCGGGUCUUUGCUGUAGUUGGCCUUUUGCCUUGCUGCUCCUUUGGCUGCCUGGGGAGCGUGGCCCCCUGUAACGGAGGGCGAGAGCCACC